AUUGAACGCUGGCGGCAGGCCUAACACAUGCAAGUCGAACGGUAACAGGAAGCAGCUUGCUGCUUUGCUGACGAGUGGCGGACGGGUGAGUAAUGUCUGGGAAACUGCCCGAUGGCGGGGGAUAACUACUGGAAACGGUAGCUAAUACCGCAUAACGUCGCAAGACCAAAGAGGGGGACCUUAGGGCCUCUUGCCAUCGGAUGUGCCCAGAUGGGAUUAGCUAGUAGGUGGGGUAACGGCUCACCUAGGCGACGAUCCCUAGCUGGUCUGAGAGGAUGACCAGCCACACUGGAACUGAGACACGGUCCAGACUCCUACGGGAGGCAGCAGUGGGGAAUAUUGCACAAUGGGCGCAAGCCUGAUGCAGCCAUGCCGCGUGUAUGAAGAAGGCCUUCGGGUUGUAAAGUACUUUCAGCGGGGAGGAAGGGAGUAAAGUUAAUACCUUUGCUCAUUGACGUUACCCGCAGAAGAAGCACCGGCUAACUCCGUG
rnacentral:rRNA from 1 species